rnacentral:tRNA from 1 species
GUUCGUGGCUCAGUGGUAGAGCACUUGCCUAGCAUUCAUGAGGCACUGGGUUCAAUCCCCGACAACA